CUCCUAAAGUGUAACGGAGGCGCCCAAAGGUUCCCUCAGCCUGGUUGGCAAUCAGGUGGUGAGUGUAAGUGCACAAGGGAGCUUGACUGUGAGACUGACAGGUCGAGCAGGGACGAAAGUCGGGACUAGUGAUCCGGCACCUACUUGUGGAAGUGGUGUCGCUCAACGGAUAAAAGGUACCCCGGGGAUAACAGGCUGAUCUUCCCCAAGAGUCCAUAUCGACGGGAUGGUUUGGCACCUCGAUGUCGGCUCGUCGCAUCCUGGGGCUGGAGUAGGUCCCAAGGGUUGGGCUGUUCGCCCAUUAAAGCGGCACGCGAGCUGGGUUUAGAACGUCGUGAGACAGUUCGGUCUCUAUCCGCGCGCGCGUUGAAACUUGAAGAAGGCUGUCCCUAGUACGAGAGGACCGGGACGGACGUACCUCUAGUGUGCCAGUUGUCACGCCAGUGGCAGGGCUGGU
rnacentral:rRNA from 1 species